rnacentral:rRNA from 1 species
CGGACGGGUGAGUAACGCGUGAGAACAUGCCCUUAGAUUGGGGACAACAGUUGGAAACGACUGCUAAUACCGAAUGAACCGAGAGGUAAAAGAUUUAUCGUCUAAGGAUUGGCUCGCGUCAGAUUAGCUAGUUGGAGUGGUAACGGCACACCAAGGCGACGAUCUGUACUUGGUCUGAGAGGAUGACCAGGCACACUGGAACUGAGACACGGUCCAGACUCCUACGGGAGGCAGCAGUGGGGAAUUUUCCGCAAUGGGCGCAAGCCUGACGGAGCAAUACCGCGUGAGGGAGGAAGCUUUUUGGAGUGUAAACCUCUUUUAUUAGGGAAGAAAUGAUGACGGUACCUAAUGAAUCAGCAUCGGCUAACUCCGUGCCAGCAGCCGCGGUAAUACGGAGGAUGCAAGCGUUAUCCGGAAUUAUUGGGCGUAAAGCGUCCGUAGGUGGCACUUCAAGUCUUUUGUCAAAGCGUGCAGCUUAACUGCAUACAGGCGGAGGAAACUGGAGCGCUAGAGUGCGAUAGGGGUCACAGGAAUUCCCAGUGUAGCGGUGAAAUGCGUAGAUAUUGGGAAGAACACCAGCGGCGAAAGCGUGUGACUGGGUCUGCACUGACACUGAGGGACGAAAGCUAGGGGAGCGAAAGGGAUUAGAUACCCCUGUAGUC